CUCAGGACGAACGCUGGCGGCGUGCCUAACACAUGCAAGUCGAACGGAGUAAUGAUUUCGGUUAUUACUUAGUGGCGAACGGGUGAGUAACGCGUGAGAAACCUGCCUUUCAGUGGGGGACAACAGUUGGAAACGACUGCUAAUACCGCAUAAUGUCAUUUAAGGGCAUCCUUGAAUGACCAAAGAUUUAUUGCUGAAAGAUGGUCUCGCGUCUGAUUAGCUUGUUGGCGGGGUAACGGCCCACCAAGGCGACGAUCAGUAGCCGGUCUGAGAGGAUGAACGGCCACAUUGGGACUGAGAUACGGCCCAGACUCCUACGGGAGGCAGCAGUGGGGAAUAUUGGGCAAUGGGGGAAACCCUGACCCAGCAACGCCGCGUGAAGGAAGAAGGCCUUCGGGUUGUAAACUUCUUUUACCAGGGACGAAUAUUGACGGUACCUGGAGAAAAAGCAACGGCUAACUACGUGCCAGCAGCCGCGGUAAUACGUAGGUUGCAAGCGUUGUCCGGAUUUACUGGGUGUAAAGGGCGUGUAGGCGGAGAUGCAAGUUGGGAGUGAAAUCCCGGGGCUCAACCCCGGAACUGCUUUCAAAACUGUAUCCCUUGAGUGUUGGAGAGGCAAGCGGAAUUCCUAGUGUAGCGGUGAAAUGCGUAGAUAUUAGGAGGAACACCAGUGGCGAAGGCGGCUUGCUGGACGAUAACUGACGCUGAGGCGCGAAAGCGUGGGGAGCAAACAGGAUUAGAUACCCUGGUAGUCCACGCUGUAAACGAUGAAUACUAGGUGUGGGAGGACUGACCCCUUCCGUGCCGCAGUUAACACAAUAAGUAUUCCACCUGGGGAGUACGACCGCAAGGUUGAAACUCAAAGGAAUUGACGGGGGCCCGCACAAGCAGUGGAUUAUGUGGUUUAAUUCGACGCAACGCGAAGAACCUUACCAGGGUUUGACAUCCAACUAACGAAGUAGAGAUACAUUAGGUGCCCUUCGGGGAAAGUUGAGACAGGUGGUGCAUGGUUGUCGUCAGCUCGUGUCGUGAGAUGUUGGGUUAAGUCCCGCAACGAGCGCAACCCUUGCCUUUAGUUGCCAGCAUUAAGUUGGGCACUCUAGAGGGACUGCCAGGGAUAACCUGGAGGAAGGUGGGGAUGACGUCAAAUCAUCAUGCCCCUUAUGCUUAGGGCUACACACGUGCUACAAUGGGUGGUACAGAGGGCAGCCAAGUCGUGAGGCGGAGCUAAUCCCUUAAAGCCAUUCUCAGUUCGGAUUGUAGGCUGAAACUCGCCUACAUGAAGCUGGAGUUACUAGUAAUCGCAGAUCAGAAUGCUGCGGUGAAU
rnacentral:rRNA from 1 species